CGGGGCGGCGUACGUCAUCAAAGAGCGCCGGAGAGGAACCGCGGCGUGGGGCAGCUAUGGCGCUGUUCCACAUAGCGCGGUACGCGGGCCCAGAGGCCGCGGGGCAGGGGGAUACGGACGCAGAGGCGGGCAGCCGGGCUCGAGUGCUGCUCGAGCGGCUGCAGAACAGAGCCCGUGAGCGACAGCAGCGGGAGCCGGAGCUCGAGACCACAGGAACGGCCGGGGAAGGGGAAGCGGCAGCAGCAGGCAAGCGGCGACGGCGGCCCCGACGGCGGCGUCGGGUGAGCGGCUCGGCGACUCCGAACUCGGAGGCUCCUAGGGCGAAGCGGCGGAAAGCGGACAAGGACGUGGACGCAGGGAGAGGUGAGGAGGCUCCGGAGGAGCUCAGUGCCGGCGCAGAGGACCCGGGUGCGAACCCUCAGGAGGAUGUCCAGAGACCCCCGGCUCCAGGCCGGGUGCUGGGGGACUUUGCAAGAAGAAAGACGCCGAAGGUUCAGCCUUUCCUGCCAGCAUGGUUGGCUAAGCCAAGCUGUGUCAAAAAGAGUGUCACCGAAGAUCUCACUCCCAUUGAGGACAUCCCUGAGGUUCACCCUGACCUGCAGAAGCAGUUGAGAGCUAAUGGCAUCACUUCCUACUUUCCAGUCCAGGCAGCUGUGAUUCCCGCCCUCCUCGAAAGUGCUGACCAUGGGUUUCUCAUAGGCAGAGGUGGCUACCAACCUAGUGACCUCUGCGUCUCUGCCCCAACGGGCAGUGGGAAAACACUGGCCUUUGUCAUCCCCGUGGUACAGGCCCUGUUGCAUCGAGUGGUCUGCCACAUCCGUGCACUGGUUGUACUUCCCACUAAGGAGCUGGCCCAACAGGUGAGCAAAGUAUUCAACAUCUACACAGACACCACGCCUCUGAGGGUUGCCUUGGUGACUGGACAGAAGUCGCUGGCUAAGGAGCAGGAGAGUCUUGUCCAGAAGACAUGGUUUCCGUUGCCUGGCCGACAUUGUGGUGGCCACACCUGGCCGCUUGGUGGACCACAUUGACCAGACUCCAGGAUUCAGCCUCCAGCAGCUCCGCUUCCUGAUCAUUGAUGAGGCUGACCGGAUGAUAGACAGCAUGCACCAGUCCUGGCUGCCACGAGUGGUGGCGGCAGCCUUCUACAGUGAGGGCCCCACGGGUUCCUGUGCCCUGCUCCAGAGGACACAGCCCCAGGCUCUGACUGCUGCCAGCACCUGUGUCCCCCAGAUGCCUCUGCAGAAGCUACUGUUCUCAGCCACACUGACCCAGGACCCCGAGAAGCUGCAGCGCCUUGGCCUCUACCAGCCACGGCUUUUCUCCACAAGGCUGGGACAACAAAGUCCUAAAGACACAGCUGAGGUGGAUGAAAACUCGGGGAAGUACACCUUCCCCGUGGGGCUCACGCAUCACUAUGUGCCGUGUAGACUCAGCUCGAAGCCACUCAUUGUCUUACACCUGGUCCUCAGGAUGAGCUGCUCAAGGGCUCUUUGCUUCACCAACUCCCGAGAAAACUCCCACAGGCUGUACCUAUUAGCACAAGCUUUUGGGGGUGUGAGUGUGGCUGAAUUCUCCUCCCGCUAUGGGCCUGGCCAAAGGAAGAAAAUCUUGAAGCAGUUUGAACAAGGAAAGAUCCAGCUCCUUAUCAGCACAGAUGCUACUGCUCGAGGCAUUGAUGUGCAGGGUGUGGAGCUGGUGAUCAACUACGAUGCCCCACAAUAUCUGAGGACCUAUGUGCACAGGGUCGGGAGAACAGCUCGAGCCGGGAAAACUGGACAGGCAUUCACACUUCUCUUGAAAGUGCAGGAAAGGAAGUUCCUUCAGAUGGUGUCAGAAGCUGGGGUGCCUGAGCUGACACACCAUGAGAUCCCCAGGAAGCUCCUGCAGCCGCUGGUUGCUCGUUAUGAGACAGCCUUGUCUCAGUUGGAGAAAACUGUCAAGGAGGAGCAGAAACUGAAGGCAGCCUAGAUGAGAACAGGGCCCUGGAGGGAAGAUCGUGCGAACAGAAGAUAAGUUCCUUGGGGUUCCAGUGGAAACAACCCUUCUCCCCAGUGCCGUGGGCAUCUGGUCGUCUUGGUUGAUGCAGCCUAGAUGGUGGCCUCGUCCUGAAAAGUAAUGGCUCUCGGGUUGGACUGCUGGUGUCCAGUUGGUCUUGGGAAAUAAGCUCAGGUGAAGCUGAAGGAUGCCUUCUGGAGUGUGAGCAAACACUAUGGUGACUGGACUGUGGUGAUCAAAGUGCUUAUACGUUAGCGUCUCCUGUCUACAGAGAAGCUAUGGCGAGCCUGCCCCAGGCAAGUCACUGGAGCCCAAGAACAGGUUGGCAGCAGCCUUGAAGAUACUUCCUUGGCUACUAGUCUUCAAGAUUGUACUUUAUAAUUAGCCUCCCACCCAUUUAAGUUCUUAAAUGAUGUGAGAGUCCUUCCCUGAAUAUAUAUAGUCAAGGAGAAUUAGCGCUUACCUGUGCUUUUAAGAAGGCCUGUUUUUAAAAAGUCAGUGUAUCAAAAAAGAUAAACAUUUUCAUUUGUAUUCAGAAAAAAAUAAAUGGAUCACUUGAACCUAUACAAAUUCCCGAUAGCUCCAACACAGCCACUUAACUACUCCUCUAACCCAGAACACCUAGGCACAGGCUACGGGUACUAUCUUCAGGCCCUUGGAACUUGGAUAAGGGGAAGCUUCCCACAGCUUUAACCAGGCCUCCCUCCCUUUUAAAUUUCACAUAUAUGAGUGUUUACCUGCAUGUAUGUCUGUAUAGCAUAUAUGCCUAGUGCCCAAGGAAGCCAGAAGUGUUUGUUGGAUCCCCUAGAACUGGAACUACAGGCAGUUGUAAGCUGGAUCCUCUACAAGAGCUUUAAUUACUGAGCCAUCUCUGUGUCCCUGUCCAAGUCCUUUUUAAAUCUGAAGCUACCACAGCCCUGGCUUCCCUUACUGGUGCCUUGUUCCAGUUGCCUUGGUUUUGCCUCUUCUGUGACCUUUCAGAACAUGCAUUGCCCUAGACCCAAGCUAGCAUCACUUUCUUUCUCACAGGAUCAGACCCUUCCCCUACACCCAGAGAUCUCCCAAACACUGUCUGCCAAGAUUAGGUUAGUAAGAUCAUGUGCUGGCUUUCUAUCUGAAUUGGUGAUACUAAAAGGGAUAGAUGCUAGGAUAGCUGACUGGGUGUUCACAGUGUUAGAACAAGCUUAAUAACUUGUAAUUAGACCAAACCGAUAUAUAAAGUGCAUGAGGAUUGCAGUUAUGAGGUUUGGUUCAUGUGUGUUGGGCCCAGGAAAUGUUUUUCCAAAGCUUGUUUUAAGGAAAUGCCUGUUUUCUAACAAAAUCUUAGGUAGAGCCUAAUAGUAGGAAUAAAGUAGGCAAAGCCAUUGUGGGAGGUUCAAGACUGACAACAGCAUCAGGCAUUUUGCAGAAGAGGUUAAAACUGGGGGAAUAGUUUCCACAGAAGCACCGAAACAAACGUGGGCUCAUGUCAACAUUAACCCUGCCAGGUAGAAGCCACUGAAGCUACCCCACAGGAGGACACAAGACAGUGAAACAUUUGGAGUAACUCACUCAUCACACUAUAGGGCCUGUUUGUUUCCCAGGCCUGUAGUGGUUACCUUACAGCUUUCUCUGCCCUGGACCAUAGCUCUGUGGAAUUUGCAUCUGACCCUAGCCUCUUGCUGUGUGGGAGGUUGCUCACUGGGGAGUAGUACCCAAAACUGAGAGAGUCAAAGUAGCCGGUGUCAUUCUGAUUCUUUUUUUUUUUUAAUGUUUAUUUUGUUUGCAUGUUUAUUUGUGUACCAUGUGUUUGCAGUCCAUUAUGGAAACCAGAAGAGGGGGACUGAGUUACAGUCAAUUAUGAUCUACCAUUUAGGUGCUGGGAAUUGAACCUGGGUCCUUUGGAAAAGCAGCCAGUGUUCUUAACUGUUGAGCCAUCUCUCCAGCCCAUCAUUGUGUCCCUUAAAUCACAGCCUUUAUGGGUAAAUACUGAUCUCUCACAGGGUAGUCACAGUUGAUUUUUGAAAACAGCUGGUUUUUUUAAAAAAAUGUUUGUUUACUGAGCAGGGUUCUCUGCAUAGCCUGGCUGUUCUGGAACUUGCUCUGUAGACCAGCAGCCUUGAACUCUCCUGCCUCUGCCUCUUGAAUGCUGAGAUUAAAGGCCUGUGCCACCUUCACUCCUAGCCAGAUACAGAUGGUUUUAAUGUGAGUUAUUAGAGCUAGGAUUUUCACAGACCAAAACUGAAAGAUCUUGCUGAUGAGAAGUCUGGUCUGAAGGUCAGACUUCCUUUUGAGUAAUCAACAUUGUGUUACUAAUGCUUUCAGCAUUUCAUACAGUGAAAUUUGAUCAUAUUCACACACACACCCUUUUCUCCCAUAUCCAUCCUUACUCUCACCUCCCCACCCAUCUAGCCCCAAGGUUUUCUGUUGUUGUUUAAACCCAUUGAAUUGAUUUGUAUUAUGGAGUGUGGUUCCUGCCCUGCAAUGUGGUCAGCCUACUAGGGGUCACACUACCAAAGAAAACUGAGUCCCUCUUUCAGUAGCAGUAAUAACAGUAGUUCCUCAGCUUAUACAGGUCUUGUGCAUGCCAUCACAGUCUCUGUGAGUUCAUAUGCCUUACUGCUCUAUUGUGUCUUGAAAGCAUUUUCCCUUGAAGUUAUGUACUGCCUCUGGCUCUUAAAUUUUUUUGUACCCUCUUCCUUAAAGAUCCCUGAGCUUGGACAGAGAGGUGUGAAAUGUUCCACUUAGAGGUCAACACUCCACACACACACUCUCACUCUGGACUUGUUGAGCAGCUGUCAUCUGAAAGCUUUUCUGAUGAAAGUUGGCAGUACACCUACCUAUGGGGAUAGCAGUGUCAUUAAAAGUCAUUUUUUACCCUGUGCUCAUUUUACCCUGUGCUCAAGCCUGUGACUUAUACAGCCACAGAUUCUUGGCUCCAUUAACAGCACCUACUAUUUCAUGGAGUAAGCCUGAGAUUUAAUCAGAAAGUGGUUGAGCAACUAGGGAAGGCUCAGCAGUUAAGAGCAUUUACUUGAAUAGGGUUUGGUUUGGUUCCUAGAACCCACAUGGUUUACAACUGUCUACAACUCCAGUUCCAGAGGCUCUAAUAUCCUCUAAGGGCACCAAAGGGCACCAGUUGUACAUGGAUAUGUUGAAGAAAAAAAUUAUAAUUUUCAAGGAAACGGUUGGUGCCUGGCUUGGUGGCCCACACCUUUAAUCCCAGCACUUGGGGGCAGAGAACGGUGAAUCUCUGAGUUCAGGCCAACCUGGUCUACAGAAUGAGUUACAGGACAAUCAGGGCUACAUAAAACAUAUCUACAGAAGGUCUUUUAAAAGGCCUUUAAUCACAGAAGAGCACAUCAGAUGCCAUUACAGAUGGUUGUGAGCCACUAUGUGGUUGCUGGGAGUUGAACUCAGGACCUCUGGAAGAGCAGUCAGUGCUCUUAACUGCUGAGCUGUAUUCAGCCCCAGCCAUAUCUAAUCACUUGAAUGAUGUUUUGUUGUUGUUGUUGUUUUGCUUUUUUUUUUUUUUUUUUCUCGAGACAGGGUUUCUCUGUAUAGCCCUGGCUGUCCUGGAACUCACUUUGUAGACCAGGCUGGCCUCGAAUUCAGAAAUCCUCCUGCCUCUGCCUCCCGAGUGCUGGAAUUAAAGGCAUGCGCCACUACGCCCGGCUCGAAUGAUGUUUUAAAACCGCUGAAAAUUCCAUUGUGUAAAGGUGCAUUUUUUUCAUCAGUUGAUGGGCUUCUAGGCUGUUUCCAUUUCCCGGUUAUUGUGAAUAGAGCAAUUAACAUGGAGAAGCAGCACCCUGGAGAAGUAGAUAAUAGAAGCUUGGGUAUAUGCCCAAGGAUGUAGCUGCAUCAUGGGGUAACUUUAUUCUCAACUUUUUGAGGAACUGCCAUGCUGACUUACAGUGGUUGUAUCAAUUUGUACUCAAACUGGUGAAGGAUGAUCCCCUUUCUCUACAGUCAUGCCAGGUUCUACUGUCUAUUUUUAAAAACCUUGUCCAUUCUGAGUGGUGUAAGAUAUUUGAAGUCUCAAAGUUGUUUCCCAUUUCCCUGAUGGCUCAGGGUGGUCAACAUGUUUUUCAGACAUUUCAUUAAAAAAAAUAUUUUUGAGGUAGGUUUUGUCUUGUUUUCUUUUUUGGAUAUAGGGUUCUCUCAUUGGCAGUUCUGGAGUCCUCUGUGUAGACCCAGCAGACCAUGACCUCACAGAGAUCUACCUGCCUCUGCCCACCAAGAGCUGGGAUUAAGGGCUAGAGCCAUCAUGUCCUGCCCAGCCCAGCUUACUUAUGUGUCUGAGUCUUCUGUCUGCUCUUAACAGCUGAGCUAUCUCUCCAGCCCACUGUAUGUCUUGAGAAGUUUUAGUUCCUUGCUGUAUUUUUGUUUUUCGAGACAGGGUUUCUCUGUGUGGCCCUGGCUGUCCUGGAACUCACUCUGUAGACCAGGCUGGCCUCGAACUCAGAAGUCCUCCUGUCUCUGACUCCCAAGUGCUGGGAUUAAAGGCGUGUGCCACCACUGCCCAGCCUUUGCUGUAUUUUAAAGAUUGGCUUAUUUCCUUGCUUGUUUUUUAGGUUUAGGGUUUUUUGUUUUGUUUUGAUUUUUAAAAGACUUUUAAUGCUUAUGUGUGUGGUAUGUGAGCAUAGGUUCUCUCUAAUGGCUGUGUGUUCUAACUGCUGUUAGCUCCCCAGUCCAUGUUUUGAGAGUUUUUUUUAGUUCUUUGUGUCUUCUAGACACUAAUUCUCUACCAGAUGUGUAGCUGGUAAAGACCUUUUCUCCUUCUGUAGUUGUUUCUUCACAUGAAUGAUACUGUCCCUUUGUUGUACAGAAACCUUAAGUUUUAUGAGGUCCCAUGGUUUUACUGCCUGCACUACUGGGGUUCUGUCCAGAAAGUCCUUCUGUGUGCUUUUAAGUUUAUUCUGCCCCACCCCCGACCUCUAUCAGAUUCAGGGUAUCAUGCCUUACACUGAGGUCCUUUGAUCCAUUUGGAGUUGAGGUCUGGCAGGGUGAGAGAUAAGAUUCCAGUUUACUCCACAUCCUGCUUUUCAGUUUGACCAGCAUCAUUUAUUAAAGAUGUCUUUCCUCUGGUAUCUUUGUUCCCUUUAUCAAAACUCAGAUGGUGGUGGGGUGUGUGGACUUACCUGGGUCCUCAGUUCUACUGCAUUGGGUAAUGUGCCUUUUUAUGCCAGUGCCAUGCUGGUUUUACUACUAUAGCUCCAUAGUGUGACUUUAAAAUUGGGGGUGGAGAUACCCUCAGCAGCUCUUUCACUGUUCAGGAUUGAAUUAUUGAUUAGAAUUAUUUAUCAGUUAAUGGUGUUACUGAUGUGUGUGUGUAGUCUGUAUUUUCUGUAUAAAAUUGAAUCCAUAUAUAAUUUAUGUAUAAAAUCAUAUAAUUCUUGGACAUCA